GAGUAUGCUCUACAUACUCAGUGGUAGAGUGCAUGCUCUGUAUGCAUGACGUCCUGGGUUCGAUCCCCAGCUUCUUCA